rnacentral:rRNA from 1 species
CGAAAGCCUGACGGAGCAACGCCGCGUGAGGGAUGAAGGCCUCUGGGCUGUAAACCUCUUUUAUCAAGGAAGAAGAUCUGACGGUACUUGAUGAAUAGGCCACGGCUAAUUCCGUGCCAGCAGCCGCGGUAAUACGGGAGUGGCAAGCGUUAUCCGGAAUUAUUGGGCGUAAAGCGUCCGCAGGCGGCCCUUCAAGUCUGCUGUUAAAAAGUGGAGCUUAACUCCAUCAUGGCAGUGGAAACUGUUGGGCUUGAGUGUGGUAGGGGCAGAGGGAAUUCCCGGUGUAGCGGUGAAAUGCGUAGAUAUCGGGAAGAACACUAGUGGCGAAGGCGCUCUGCUGGGCCAUCACUGACGCUCAUGGACGAAAGCCAGGGGAGCGAAAG